rnacentral:tRNA from 1 species
GAGGGUGUAGCUCAAGUGGUAGAGCGCAUGCUUAGCAUGCACGAGGUCCUGGGUUCAAUCCCCAGUACCUCCU